AAAUCUAAUUUGGAAAAGCUGCUUCACUCAUCGUCUUGGUUCUGUAACUGGCACCAAGCAUUAAAUUAAUCUACUAAAAAUCAUCAGGACACUUCCAGAGGGAACUUUGCUUUGGCUUCUGUACUGCAUCUGAAGGCAGGUGUUUGGAUUCAGCCAGGAGAACAGUCUCUAUAUUGACUGGAUUACAAAACCGAAUGACGACAUCGCGUGUCAGACCUGUGCUGCUCUUCGGAGGAACUUGGCCUGGAAGCAAAAGCAAGAAGGAGGGAAGUGAGUCUUGCUUGCUGUGGGAAAAAACAGAUGUGACAUACAAGUACUGAAGUCCCUAAGAGCCUGAUGUAUACAUUGCAACAUCUUUUUUUUGCUGCUCCAAGUUCUGCCAGACAGCACAGGGAACAUGUGGAACUCAGGGAAUUAUGCAAGCCUGUAUGCAGACAUCAGAUGCACUUGAUGCCACUGAAGAAAGGACGGAUUAGCAAAGAGGGCUUGUGCUCCUGGGACACUGAGAGAAAAUCAAAUGUUACCUAAGUCUAAAGGAUAUACAGAAAAAAGAGACACAUAAAAAUACAGUGUCUGAGAUGUCAAAUAUAUAUAAAAAAGAAAGUAUAAAUCAAGUGGCUAGCAUAAAACUGACUUAUGCUGACAAUAUACGGUGUAAUUUGUACGUUUACUUGUUUUGGAAAAAGUGCCUCUCAUUUCUCCUGAUUGGGUCUUUACAUCCUUCCUAAAGAAGCUGAUCAAAGCUAAACAAUUACUGAAGUUUUACUGCUCUGUAUACAAUAUUUUGUUUUCUAAUUGGAUAUCACUGAUGUACAAGGGACAAGCUAGUUCCCUGCUCAGCAUCCAGUGGAAUGGAACAACCAUGCAUUGGACACUGGGCAAAUAAACUGGGUGUCUGGAAGCCUCUCUGGCAGUGGUUGUAGCCAGAAGCAGAGGAAGAUGCAUGAAGACUCAAACUGCAGCAAUAUUUCUGAAUUUGUUCCUUCUCUACCUUCUCUACCUUCUCCCCGUACCCUUACACCCCUCUUUGUGCCUGGCGUGAAGGAGGUUCUAGUGGAGCUGAUACUCAUGUCAUCCAGCAGUCCCAAACACUGAAAUACCUUCCCUCACUGAAUCCUGCUGCCCACUUCUCCACGUUGAAGCUAUCUUUUGCUCCAUUGCAAAUGAGGCAUCCAUAAGGAUGGUGACCACGACAGGAUUUUUUCCAGCAAAGAAGAAAAUAUGUUUCUCUCAUGCAGGGGUGAGCACAGGUAAAAAUCAGCAGAGCCUGGACUUUUGUUGUGUGAGAUUAUUUACCUUGAUAAGUGUUCACAGAAUCAGGGGUGAUAUCUCUCAGCACUGGUGCUGGAUUUCCACUCAUUUUGUACCAGGGUCUUCCUGUGAAUCUCCUGUGGGAACAGUUCAGUACUACUUAAAGGGAUGACGUUUCUGUAAUUGUGUAAUUAUUGUUCCAAGGUUCUUUCUUGUGCUUGUUAACCCUUCGUUUCAGCAAAAGUGUAAUCCCACCCUAUUGAAUUUGGAUAAAAUGUGAUUGAGAAUCAACAGCAGUUCCCAGUAAAGAGUUGAUAUU